rnacentral:snRNA from 1 species
AGCUUUGCGCAGUGGCAGUAUCGUAGCCAAUGAGGUUUAUCCGAGGCGCGAUUAUUGCUAAUUGGAAAGUGGAGAAACCAUCCUCCUCCCCACAAGAGUGAAGCUUAGACUUAGGAAAGA